AGCUUUUUGAGUCCGUGCAGAGAUUUCGUCAGCCACCAACCCAUUGUUGCUGAUCAAACUUUCAAUAUACGUGAAGUU
rfam:Schistosoma curassoni strain Dakar, Senegal genome assembly, scaffold: SCTD_contig0011180